rnacentral:misc_RNA from 1 species
CAGAGUUGAGAGACUCCCAAACCACCGCGAACAUACCACUACGUUGCCUCGGCGGGCGGCUCCAGGGCGGAGCCUCCGGCCCCCCGCGGGGGGGCGCCCGCCGACAGGCCCCAAACCAUGCCGUAACGACGCUACUCUGAGUACCCAAGACCUAUCA